AUUUGACAUCUGGAAAAGCACCUGUCAGGGAUUCAAUAGCACUUGGAAGUCCGUUGAACAGAUGAGUCUUGAACGGAUAUAAAGUUAAAACGGUCUAAGCUGGAAGAAUAGGUGCUGGGUUUGUCAUCCUUUUGAUCAGCUCCCGGAAAACAUAAUGAUGAAGCCAAGAUAGUACUAGAGGUGCACGGUCUUUUCAACAAUUCGCACUGGACGCUUCUCAGGCGCAGCAUCUCGUUUCGGCAGCACUGAACGGAAAACUUCUCCUGCUUGUCAGCGAGGAACGAACAGCGCUUAGUGGGUAGUACCUCAUAGAUGGGUCUUUGAAAAAUUACAGUUAUAGCAGAGAUGUGCUCGUGCAUUGCGAUUAGUGUGAGAUGUAUUACAAUUCGUACAAAAAAGUUUACAUCAAGGUUGUUGCGCGUAGGACCCUAAAAGUUAUUAGAGGUCGAGUCAUAUAACCACAAAACUUAAUUCCACAGUGAUAACACGGCCGAAUAAAGCGUUCGUUUUCUGAAUAAAAAAUGUUGUGCUGAUCUCG